rfam:TPA: Bos taurus chromosome 3, whole genome shotgun sequence.
UCCCAGCUGGCUGAGACAGUAAAGAAUCUGCCUGCAAUGCAGGAGACCUGGCUUCCAUCCCUGGGUUGGGAA